rfam:Camelus ferus unplaced genomic scaffold scaffold2578, whole genome shotgun sequence.
GAGGGUAUAGCUCUGGUGGUGGAGCGUGUGCUUAGCAUGCAGGAGGUCCUGGGUUCAAUCCCCAGUACCUCCA